rnacentral:tRNA from 1 species
GCGGCGGUAGUCAGACGGUCAUCACAGAGGGUUUUGGACCCUUUAGUUCUGGGUUCGAAUCCCCGCGCCGCC